CUACGGGUCGCUGCAGUGGGGAAUAUUGCACAAUGGGCGCAAGCCUGAUGCAGCCAUGCCGCGUGUAUGAAGAAGGCCUUCGGGUUGUAAAGUACUUUCAGCGGGGAGGAAGGGAGUAAAGUUAAUACCUUUGCUCAUUGACGUUACCCGCAGAAGAAGCACCGGCUAACUCCGUGCCAGCAGCCGCGGUAAUACGGAGGGUGCAAGCGGUAAUCGGAAUUACUGGGCGUAAAGCGCACGCAGGCGGUUUGUUAAGUCAGAUGGGAAAUCCCCGGGCUCAACCUGGGAACUGCAUCUGAUACUGGCAAGCUUGAGUCUCGUAGAGGGGGGUAGAAUUCCAGGUGUAGCGGUGAAAUGCGUAGAGAUCUGGAGGAAUACCGGUGGCGAAGGCGGCCCCCUGGACGAAGACUGACGCUCAGGUGCGAAAGCGUGGGGAGCAAACAGGAUUAGAUACCCCCGUAGUC
rnacentral:rRNA from 1 species